rnacentral:rRNA from 1 species
GACGGGGGAUGCGAGCGUUAUCCGGAAUGAUUGGGCGUAAAGGGUCCGCAGGUGGCCCGGUCAGUCCGCUGUCAAAACCUGGGGCUCAACCCUGGAGAGGCGGCGGAGACCACCGGGCUUGAGUCCGGUAGGGGCAGAGGGAAUUCCCGGUGGAGCGGUGAAAUGCGUAGAGAUCGGGAAGAACGCCAAGGGCGGAGGCACUCUGCUAGGCCUGAUUUCGCGACUGACACUCAGGGACGAGAGCCAGGGGAGCGAAUGGG